GCGGGGGUAGCUCAGUCGGGUGAGCGCCCGCUUCUCACGCAAGAGAUGCGGGUUCGAAUCCCGGCGCUGACA
rnacentral:tRNA from 1 species